UCCCUAACAUGAGAAAGAAAGUAGCCACCCAAGUCCAGGAAGCGCAGAGUCCAAUACAGGAUAAACCCAAGGAGAAACACGCCGAGACACAUAGUAAUCAAAUUGGCAAAAAUUAAAGACAAAGAAAAAUUAUUGAAAGCAGCAAGAGAAAAACGGCAAAUAACAUACAAGGGAACUCCCAUAAGGUUAACAGCUGAUUUCUCAGCAGAAACUCUACAAGCCAGAAGGGAGUGGCACAGUAUAUUUAAAGUGACGAAAGGGAAAAACCUACAACCAAGAUUACUCUACCCAGCAAGGAUCUCAUUCAGAUUUGAUGGAGAAAUCAAAAGCUUUACAGACAAGCAAAAGCUAAGAGAAUUCAGCACCAACCAAACCAGCUCUACAACAAAUGCUAAAGGAACUUCUCUAAGUGGGAAACACAAGAGAAGAAAAGGACCUACAAAAACAGACCCAUAACAAUUACGAAAAUGGUAAUAGAAACAUACAUAUCAAUAAUUACCUUAAACCUGACUGGAAUAAAUGCUCCAACCAAAAGACACAGGCUUGCUGAAUGGAUACGAAAACAAGACCCAUAUAUAUCCUGUCUAAAAGAGACCCACUUCAGACCUAGGGACACAUACAGACUGAAAGUGAGGGGAUGGAAAAAGAUACUCCAUGCAAAUGGAAAUCAAAAGAAAGCUGGAGUAGCAAUACUCAUAUCAGAUAAAACAGACUUUAAAAUAAAGAAUGUUACAAGAGACAAGGAAGGACACUACCUUGGAUGAUCAAGGGAUCAAUCCAAGAAGAAGACAUAACAAUUAUAAAUAUAUAUGCACCCAACACAUAGGAGCACCUCAAUACAUAAGGCAACUGCUAACAGCUAUAAAAGAGGAAAUCGACAGUAACACAAUAAUAGUGGGGGACUUUAACACCUCACUUACACCAAUGGACAGAUCAUCCAGACAGAAAAUUAAUAAGGAAACACAAGCUUUAAAUGACAAAAUAGACCAGAUAGAUUUAAAUGAUAUUUAUGGGACAUUCUAUCCAAAAACAGCAGAUUACACUUUCUUCUCAAGUGCACAAGGAACAUUCUCCAGGAUAGAUCACAUCUUGGGUCACAAAUCAAGCCUCCGUAAAUUUAAGAAAAUUGAAAUCAUAUCAAGCAUCUUUUCCGACCACAAUGCUAUGAGAUUAGAAAUCAACUACAGGGAAAAAAAUGUAAAAAACACAAACACAUGGAGGCUAAACAAUACGUUACUAAAUAACCAAGAGGUCACUGAAGAAAUCAAAGAGGAAAUCAAAAAAUACCUAGAGACAAAUGACAAUGAAAACACAAUGAUCCAAAACCUAUGGGAUGCAGCAAAAGCAGUUCUAAGAGGGAAGUUUAUAGCAAUACAAGCCUACCUCAAGAAACAAGAAAAAUCUCAAAUAAACAAUCUAAACUUACACCUAAAGGAGCUAGAGAAAGAAGAACAAACAAAACCCAAA